rnacentral:rRNA from 1 species
UACAGAGGUCCCAAGCGUUAUUCGGAAUUAUUGGGCGUAAAGGGCGCGUAGGCGGCUUGGCAAGUGGAAGGUGAAAUCCCUCGGCUUAACCGAGGAACUGCCCUCCAAACUGCUUCGCUUGAGACCGGGAGAGGUGAGUGGAAUUCCCAGUGUAGCGGUGAAAUGCGUAGAUAUUGGGAGGAACACCAGUGGCGAAGGCGGCUCACUGGACCGGUACUGACGCUGAGGCGCGAAAGCGUGGGGAGCAAACGGG